rnacentral:rRNA from 1 species
GAUGAACGCUGGCGGCGUGCCUAAUACAUGCAAGUCGAGCGAACAGAUGAGGAGCUUGCUCCUCUGACGUUAGCGGCGGACGGGUGAGUAACACGUGGAUAACCUACCUAUAAGACUGGGAUAACUUCGGGAAACCGGAGCUAAUACCGGAUAAUAUAUUGAACCGCAUGGUUCAAUAGUGAAAGACGGUUUUGCUGUCACUUAUAGAUGGAUCCGCGCCGCAUUAGCUAGUUGGUAAGGUAACGGCUUACCAAGGCAACGAUGCGUAGCCGACCUGAGAGGGUGAUCGGCCACACGGGAACUGAGACACGGUCCAGACUCCUACGGGAGGCAGCAGUAGGGAAUCUUCCGCAAUGGGCGAAAGCCUGACGGAGCAACGCCGCGUGAGUGAUGAAGGUCUUCGGAUCGUAAAACGCUGUUAUUAGGGAAGAACAAAUGUGUAAGUAACGAUGCACGUCUGGACGGUACCUAAUCAGAAAGCCACGGCUAACUACGU